rnacentral:sRNA from 1 species
UGAUGAGAAGAAGAAGAAGAAGAGGAAAGU